AUGUUGACUGAUGACUACAACUUCUCGGCAAAAGAACCAGUUCGUAACUGCAUGCAGGAAGAUGUGGACAACACGCAGGCAUGGGCUGCUGAGUGGCAGAAUUUCCUGCAACUGUUCACUGAUAUCAUUGACACCAGGGGCCACGGAGACAACAAACCCUCCUGGAAUCCACAGGAACACUGCCCGGAACCUCACACUGUGUAUGAGUUCGGUCCAGGGACAAAGCACUUUGUUACAGCUCAGCAGCUCCCGGACCCUUCAGUAAAACUGCUUGGGCCGUCAUCCGAGGAGAUCUCCGCUAAAGGAGCGGGCACCUCAGUUUACCUGGUCAAUAAACUGUCGGUGGGCUUCCCUGCCGUCAGCUGGACAGUGGACGGGAGUCCGACGAGCAGUCAGGUGGAAACCAACGCAGUGAGGCGGAACACGGACAACACCUUCAGUCUCAGCAGCAACCUGACUCUGCCCGGCACAGACUGGAGCAGUGGGAGGGUGUACUCCUGCACAGUUCAACAAGGAGCAGCCUCGAAAAUAUCCGCAACUGACGCACAAUCCAGCUGUUGA